rnacentral:lncRNA from 1 species
CAAAUGCAAUACAACCAGAAGAGCUGUAUGACAGCAAGAAAAACUAUUCUGCCAGUCCUGUUGUGGGAGAAUGUGAGAAUACUUUUUUAUAUCCAUUUCACAGCAAAUGCAACAACUCUGAACCAUUAACCACUUGAAAGGAGCAACAGAAGAUGUCUGUUUCCACUAGCAACAGAAGAUGAAAAAGAUGAAUUGCAAAUCUGAUGCAGCUAUCCCUUGUGUAGGCAUGAUCUUGUCCAAGUGACCAAGCUGGAGUGACCCCAAUGAGUUCUAAAAUUCAGCACUUGUCUGAUAUGUUUCGAAUUUAGGAUCUUGCUGUGUUUUCCUCAACUUUUGUGCGUUAGAUGCUAGGAAUUUGGGUGUUUUGUCAGGUGAGAUUUCUCAUGUGCAAUUGUAACACUGUUGAAGGGUAAGCUGAAUUUACAGCACUAAACAUAUAUCCAUCAACUCUGGAGUCACAAGAAUGUAGCAGCCAAUGUGGGCUGUACAGUCAGGGACUGGUUACCAAGCCUUGAAGCAAAGUAAACCCAGGUCACAGAUCCCCAACAGGAG